AUUGAACGCUGGCGGCAGGCCUAACACAUGCAAGUCGAACGAGUGGCGGACGGGUGAGUAAUGUCUGGGAAACUGCCUGAUGGAGGGGGAUAACUACUGGAAACGGUAGCUAAUACCGCAUACCAUCGGAUUUGCCCAGAUGGGAUUAGCUAGUGGGUGGGGUAAAGGCUACCCUAGGCGACAAUCCCUAGCUGGUCUGAGGGGAUGACCAGCCAAACGGGAACUGAGACACGGUCCAGACUCCAACGGGAGGCAGCAGUGGGGAAUAUUGCACAAUGGGCGCAAGCCGGAUGCAGCCAUGCGGCGUGUAUGAAGAAGGCCUUCGGGUUGUAAAGUACGUUCAGCGGGGAGGCGUUACCCGCAGAAGAAGCACCGGCUAACUCCGUGCCAGCAGCCGCGGUAAUAC
rnacentral:rRNA from 1 species